UCUUUCAUUCUCCCUCUUUGCUUUCUGCCUCAGACCUACACCCACUGACUCGCACGUUUUUUGUGGUGUGGGGGCAGAAGGUGCAAAGCAGCCACAUUUCAUGCUUGCUGUCUCCUUUCAGGCUGAAUUCCUGCUUGUGGUCUCCUGUGAGGAUUCGUUUACUGCUUGCAGCUCCUGGGAGAGAAAUCAUGAAAGGUUCCACCUUAUUCAAAGUGAAAUUGGGGCUGGAAGUGUGCAACAACCCCAUACAUGCCCUGCUAGCUGGAUUACCAAGAUGUCUGUGUUUUCCACUACUCUCGUAUUCUCUUCCACACCUGGGCUCAGAAAGAAAAUAAACAUCUGGCUCUCUUGAAGUUUCCAAUAAAUCGGUGCAUGAAUCUUGACCAAAUCUGACUAACAACCAUGCAUACACAUUUGCGACCACAGCCCCAAAAUGACAAGGCAUGACAUCGACCACACAUCCUAAUAUUCCAUCUGUGACCCUGAUUCUCCUGAUCAUCAAUUCUGAGGAUGACAUUUCUUUGACUUUUCAGCAAGGAUUUAAUCUGCACUUUAUGACGGAUCCCCAUUCCUAAAGCUUCUUCUACUGAUUUCUCCGUCUGCGUCUUGCUGUGACAUCCAAGAUUUUAACCUCUAAUGACUUAAAGACAUCUUGCCACUUCUUAAUUAGAUCAGCAUGAAGAUUAGAAAUGUGGUUACAAACGGCUUCCAUUGGGUCCAUUAUAGUCGGGUUGCAUCUCUUUUAUUAUCCUUGUUCUUAAUUGCCAUUUUUGGCACUACAUCCUUUUUCGUAUUUACUCCCACCACCUAGGUAACCAGUUUUAAAAAGUUUGUAAGAUACUAGUUCUUCCAUAAUUGAAUUCCCGAGCUCAUAGAGCACCCGCUCCACCACUGAAAUAUGCCUCUGGUUAGUAUUAAUUAUGUAAUGAGUAGAUUUUAAUCAACGGGGGGAGUGGAGCUCCGAUCUUAAGCUCCUGCUCUGUCUUGCACGUGCAUCCCUCCCCUCCCUACACAACUGGUUUAUUGAGUACACAUAGGUAGGUGUUGAAACAAGAAUAUUUUGAUAACCGUAUGGAUUCACCGUCUGUCCCAUAUAAAAGUGACGCACUCUGUCUUACAGAUAUUGACCCAGUCCUUAGGGAUACGUAGUUCCUUAAUUUACUCCAUGAGAAGAUAACAAUGUAACCAUUCAGUCUGGUCAUAAAAAUUCUGAAAUCACAUAAAAAUGGGAUGUAAUAUGUGCAAAUGUAGACUUUUCCACUUUGCAAUCAGGAGUAUUGUAUUUUCUUGAAGUUGAUACUAGCAGAUGUGGAAGCCAAAUGAAAUGGCCCUUAGUCCAAUGGUAGAUCAAUACUGGGACAGCUGUAGGCCAUUUGUAGGGAUGACUAAGCCUUGAUCAACCUGGUUGACUAAUGUGUUUUAACACUAUUGCUAUUUUAACGGAUGACUGUGGUGUCUGCAAACAGAUCAAAGUACAAUGGGUUCUCAGCAGUGAUCUCAGAAGAUCUGAAAGGUUUACUUUCAGGAUCAAAAAAUGUAAGCAUCACACUGCAGUUUGCAGUACCACAGACAGGUGGCACUGUGCACUAUAGAAGGAACACUUCCCCCCCACCUGCACAUCACUUGCACUGGCUGCCACUGGCUGCCUCAGCAAGCAGGCGGCAGUCUGGUGGGGUGGUGGUGGCUGGCCAUGCACUGUGUGGCGGCGGCAUUUGUCCAAGGGAGGUGGCAGUGAGGGCAGUGGCAGCCUGGGCAAAAGGCUGGUCUGUGGCCUUGCUGCACU